rnacentral:tRNA from 1 species
GCCCCCGUGGCGGAACUGGUACACGCGUCCACUUGCCGAGUGGAUGACCGCAAGGUCGUGUGGGUUCGAAUCACACCAGGGGCA